CCUACGGGAGGCAGCAGUGGGGAAUAUUGGACAAUGGGGGCAACCCUGAUCCAGCCAUGCCGCGUGUGUGAAGAAGGCCCUCGGGUUGUAAAGCACUUUCAGUGAGGAAGAACGCCUGGUGGUUAAUACCCAUCAGGAAAGACAUCACUCACAGAAGAAGCACCGGCUAACUCCGUGCCAGCAGCCGCGGUAAUACGGAGGGUGCGAGCGUUAAUCGGAAUUACUGGGCGUAAAGCGCGCGUAGGUGGCUUGAUAAGCCUGUUGUGAAAGCCCCGGGCUCAACCUGGGAACGGCAUCCGGAACUGUCAAGCUAGAGUGCAGGAGAGGAAGGUAGAAUUCCCGGUGUAGCGGUGAAAUGCGUAGAGAUCGGGAGGAAUACCAGUGGCGAAGGCGGCCUUCUGGACUGACACUGACACUGAGGUGCGAAAGCGUGGGUAGCAAACAGGAUUAGAUACCCCAGUAGUC
rnacentral:rRNA from 1 species